rnacentral:rRNA from 1 species
UACGGGGGGAGCAAGCGUUGUUCGGAUUUACUGGGCGUAAAGGGCGCGUAGGCGGUCGUGACAAGUCACUUGUGAAAUCUCCGGGCUUAACUCGGAACGGUCAAGUGAUACUGUCGGACUAGAGUACAGAAGGGGCAACUGGAAUUCUCGGUGUAGCGGUGAAAUGCGUAGAUAUCGAGAGGAACACCUGCGGCGAAGGCGGGUUGCUGGGCUGAUACUGACGUGAGGCGCGAAAGCCAGGGGAGCGAACGGG